UCUUCAUUUCACACACUCUCUCGCCUCUCUGACCGGUGAGAGAGCACGUGAAAUGAAGAGA
rfam:Pristionchus pacificus strain PS312 contig13207, whole genome shotgun sequence.